UGGAGUAAUUGUGUUACACACUAUAAAACAGUCUCUCUCUUAAAACAACAACCAAGAAUGCAAUAGAUCUUCAGCUUCUAAGAAAAAGCAUAUUAUUUAUACAUUCAUACUUAAAAAUAUGAGGUCACCUCUCAUCUCCCUUAUUUAAACAGUGCGUUUUACCAGCUAAUUUGUGCCUGAAUGUUUAGACACAUACUUGCUUAUUUGUGACUUAUUUUACAGUUUCUUCUAAAUUUUGCAAAGUUGAAAAGCUAUACCUAAUGCACUGGUUGUUUUGCCGCAUUGCUUAGCAUUCCAUCCACGCAGGCAGGCGGUGUUCCUAGGUCUGGAAGGAUAAAUCCCAGGGGAAGUGAGCUGCAGAACAUUUUAUGCAUCACUCAUUCUAUUAUGGGCCCUCUGCUGCUCCAUCUCUACAAGACUGGCUGAACCAACAACAAUAACAAUUGUUUACAAUUAUACUCUCUAACUUUGGAUUAUCUAGUUAAUACCCUAAUGCUGAUUAUCUAGAACACAAUGUCCAAUAAGAAAGACUAUUUGAAUGCUGCUACUGCAUUAGUAAUAAAACAACAAAGAAAAAUGAAACAUUCUGAAUGUACCAUCUGAUGAGCUGACAGUAAAAGAACAGACACUGAGCAAUAAGACUGCAUGGCUACCUUGUCCAGAGCCACCAGCUGGGAGUUAAGUUGACUAAGGUUGUGAAACCCCAGCCCAUUUGGAUCACAGCAGGCAUGGCAGCGGUUGACUGAUUGUACCCGCCAGCUGGCUAAUAUCAUAAUUAACAAAGUUGCUACUACGUUGGCGAAGUUUAAUUGAAAAAUUUGCCAGUGAUAUGACGGCAUUGUCACGAAGAUCACAAGGGACACAGAGCCGACUUCUGCUCGAGGUGGAAUGGCAAAGCUGUGUACGCAAGCGGAGAAAUCACAAACUUGUUCGGCCAAAGGUUAUGCUUCAUAUCACCCAUCAGGGAGGAUCAUCUCUCAUGAAAACUUUUAAAUUUGAUUUUGAAAAUUAUUCGGAAAAAUUUAAGCGGUGCUUUCUUCUAAUAUAGGAAAGAAUAUGCUCUGGAGAUUCUUAUAAUUCAAAGAAAAUGGAUUGGUAAAGCAUUCGGGUUCUCAUGCUGCCAAAAAUCCUCUUAAGCAGGAGGCUAAUAAUGAAGGGGCCAGGGAAGGAGGCCAGUGCUACGAGGGUUAUCUCACAGCCUCAGAUGCUGGAUAAGUCGAACGAGGCAGAAUCGCGUUUGGAUGACAUUCAGAAAGGCUGGGGUGAUUAUUUGGAAGAGAAAAGCCUGCCUAUUCUUUUCCAAGGUGUGUGACUAUCCCCGUGGCCUGCCGGUCCAGCGAUGAAUUGCUAGACAAAGGAUGCCCCUGGAACCUCACCACACCUUCUAAAGCCAAGCUUUGAAGAAUCUGCCAAGCUCACAUUUAAUCAUGAGAAAGAAAUUAUCCACAUGGAGUCAGCAGAAAAUGAGAAAGUAGAGCUCUGUGCUCCGAGUAAUUCCAGCAAGUGCCAAGGGGCUAGUUGAGGAAUGGCUUCAUGAGGUGAAUAUCUUUAGCUUGUACUUAGGGUUUUGGCUAGCGUAUAAUCAUUUUCUCUUUUAGAAACAAUGACUUGCUUAAGUGUCUUCGCUAACGAAAAUGUGCUCGGAGCAUUUGUCAGGAUGUUGACAGGUUUUGUGUCAGUCUCGUCCUUGUUGUUACGUGCUAUUUUAUGUAUUAAUUUUACAUUUGCAAAUACGCAAAAAUCAAUCAAGGUGAAGAGGCUCCCCCAGUCGAUGCCUGAGUAUAGCUGUCUGUAUCUGUGUGUCUCGCUGUGAGUGCACCUCUCUGUGUACGUGAUGUGCCCUUGUUCUUGUCUGCUCUCUGUUGUGCACGUUGAUUGGGAGGACUGGCCAGCCCGUGGGUUCUCAGAUGUGGUCCCAGGCUUUCAUUUGAUUUUUGGACCAGGAAGAAAAGAAUGUGUCACAUCAUGAUUAAUAGUUAAUCUGAAUUUUCAAUUCGUAUGAAAGGAGAAGGGGGAGGAGGAGCUCAGCCCAGUGAUGAGACUAACCUUGUCCCUUUGGGAAGAGCAUGAUUCAAAUUAAACAUCGCUUUCAGUGUGAAAUUAGUUUGAAGGCUUCUUUUUUUGGGGGGGGGGGGGGGGGGGUGUGUGUGUGUGUGUGUGUGUGUGUGUGUGUGCCUGGUUUAACUCCUUGAUGGCUGCUCUUGCAGAGACAAUCACUUCCAUUCUGCCUCUGUGCCCCAGUCUGUUCCCAAUAGCCCAGAGUUCUCCCUUCAUUUAUUGUUCCAAAGUUCAGAUCCAAUAAAUCAAUAAAAAAAUAUUAAAUGUUUACUAUUUUUAAAGUUUCAUUAUUCACAAGAUUCUUCCAAAUGAUGUUAUUUCUUAGUGUUCCAAACUAAUGUUGCCAGUAAAUGA